AGAGAAACAAGCAAACUAUAGGAAAUAAGAGAGAAAUAAUAUUGGCACGGUUUUUUUUUCAAACAAAAAAGGAACAUAUGGAAAAUGAUAAUCGAAGAGGAGACUGAUAUUCGUCCUUAUUUUUCUUCUAUUUUUCAUCUUCUUUUUUGUUGUUUUCUUAUCCCCCUACGAAUUUCGAGAAGCAACGACGAUAACGAAGAUGUGGAUCGUAAUAAUAAUUGACAUCGGACGAGAUGAGUUAGUUGAAAAGAAAAUGGAUGAUAUGCGGCAUAUGUGAGAAGAUAUUUGACAAAUAGUAAAAGAAUAACAGAGAGAAAGAGAAAGAGAAAGAAAGAGAAAGAAAAUAUUAUAGACUUCGGGCUAUUGGGUAGCACGGAUCGGUGGAAACCAGUUAUUGGUGCUCGCAUAGCUCUUAUGAUAGCAAGUUGCAGCAGGAUUGGGACAGCAUCAUUACAACUAGAGAUAACGAAGAGUUAAAAAUGAUA
rnacentral:lncRNA from 1 species